AAAAUACUAAAUGUAUGUGUCUACAUGUGCAUCAGAUUGUUUGUAUAUGUCAGUUUGUGUAUCUGUGUGUCAAGGUGUGUGUAUGUAUCAGUGUGUUUAUUUGAGUGUGUGUAUAUGUCAGUGUGUGUAUAUGUCAGUGAACAUCUCUGUAUUUGUAUGUGUCAGUGUGUGUAUCUGUGUGUCAGGGAGUGUAUGUGUCACGGUGUUUAUCUCUGUAUUUCUUUGUGUUAAUUUGUGUGCAUAUCUGUGUAAGUGUGUAUGUGGCAGUGUAUGUGUGUAUGUGCAUAUAUCCCAGCAAUCAAACACAAACACAACAUACAAACACACCCCUGCAUUCAAGCACAAACAUUACAUGCAAACACACUCCUGCAAUCAAACACAAACAUUACAUGCAAACACAAACC